ACCGGAUCAGAGAGGGGCUGGCUCCGGGGACAGGAGAGGGUAUUGGCCAGCAGAAGUGAGACGUGGACAAAAGGCGGGACUGGGGAGGGACCUCUAGCCUCGGCCGUCCUCCGACCCGUGAACUUGAGACCUGAAAACUACCGGUCCCAGCGUGCACUGCUCCCUCCUCGGAGCUCUCGCAGUUGGAUCCGCCGGGCUAAAAUUCCGGGGUGGGCGCGCUGCACCCUGGGACAUGUGGUUCUCCGAGGGGCACGGGCGGUUCCUGCGAUCUGGCUUUCCCUGGCGUCUUGCACCAGCCCUCCCUUUGUGGGUUGCAUAGUUCCCAGGAACCUGUCAGCUCUUUAGCCUUUUUCCUGCAAAUACAUUUCCGUGAGUGCCGGCUAGAUGAGGCUCACAUGGCCUCAGGUCCGUGCUGCACGCCAUAAGGAAUAGUAGUCCCUAAAUGCAUACGCUUUUGGAGUUGUCCUCUGCCCUCACCGAGAUUGCAAAACGUUAAAGGCAAAAAUGAAUCGAGCCUUUGACGGCAGUGUGCUGAGAGUUUUCCUUGUAAUCGCUCAUGUACUCUUGGCAACUUUAAUUGCAGCUGAGCUGCCUUUCUGGAAAGUUUCUUCCUUGAUUUCUAUCACCUUGCAUCAUCUGCUUUCCUCUCAGACGGACCAUUCAGGUAAACAACCCCUUCCAUGGAGUGAAUGGAAAGAUAAUGCUUCUCUUUACUUCAGUGUCCCUCCUUCUGCCUGA
rnacentral:lncRNA from 1 species